GAGUGAUUAUCAAUGUGAUAAUUUUACAACAGAAUACAAUAGAAUCCACUUGUUUAAACACAGCUGAGUGUUGGCAUGAAUUGUACAGGAAAGGGAAAGAGGAAAUUGCACAGCUUGAAAACAAGGUGACGUCUAAGUACCUAACUGGCUGGACCUCACACAGGGAAGGGCUGCAAGUACAAAGUCCUGCACCAGACUGCAAUCUAUCAGAGCAACUUUCAGUUCACUCCAGCCUCUUUCUUUGGGUUGUUUUUGAUGGUUGACAUUUUUCUGUUCUAUUUGCGUAAGGAUUUUUUAGUUUUUAUAUUAUAAAACUGCAUCCAAGCUUCCUGGCGUGCUGUGCCCUACCCCUAAAAAGUGGGCUUCCUUUUGAAUGAAUGCACUCCUGCCACUUCCAUAAUCUCUGACUCAUAAUCCAUUGUACAGUUGGGAAGGUGCCAUGAGGCUGCAACACUGUCUCUCCUGGAGCCUCUCUCUGCUACCUCUGCUCUUGUUGUCUUGUGGGUACCAGUGCGUGUCGGUCCACUUCCAGACCCCGCAGCCGGUCAAUGUUCUCCCAGCCGGACGUCUAGUUCUCCAGGUCCAGAUCGACCGCGGUCCCAAAGAAAAGAUCUCCAUGAUAAACUGGGAGCGGGAGCCAGAGAACGCAAAGACCCCAGGGAAUCCUGGGAAGGUGACGUUGAUUACGUUCCCCGGUCAAGAAAAACGCUUGGACGGGCGUCUGAGUUUGGAGGAGCAGGGGUCAAUACUGAAGCUGGAGGGCUUUGGCGUGGCAGACAGUGGGGUGUACAUCGUGACCGUCACUGACCAGGCUGGCGUCAAGACCUCUGGACAGUGUACCGUCAAGGAGUACGAGGCUGUGCACCACCCCUCAGUGAGAGUGAAUGUGUCCCACUCCUCCCUGUUCUGUGUGGAGACCUGGGGGACAGACCUUAAAUUCAGCUGGCUCCACGAGCGGGCAGCCAUAACCGAUGCUGUGGGACACGUUUCGCCUGAUGGGAAGACCCUCGUCGUCUCCUCCGCCCCCAUCUGUGGUCACUUCACCUGCAUGGUGAGCAACAAGCUGGGCCACAGCUCUGCCACCUACACAGCAGAGCCGUGUGAGAGAGAGGGCAAGAGGACCACGGUGGCGGUGGUCUCUCUCAUCAUCUUGCUGGUCUGUGGAGCAGCGCUCGCUUUUCUACUGUGGAGGAGACACAGGCGAUACAGUAACAGAGGCGAGAGGCUUCAGGAGCAUUUUGAGGACAACUUGUAAUGGUGAACCAUUGAUACCAGUACCCAAGGUAUUUCGCUACACUCCCCAACUCAAAGAUGGACUCAUAAAAGGACAGUAAGUGUACAAAACGCUUUGGGAGGAGCUUCCUUCCCUGUGAGCAGCAUGACCUUUCAGUGCAUUGGAACAAUGUGGAGAGUGAACUGCUUGUUGGCCAAUUGACGAGUUCUAAAAAUGGAAAGAGCAACUUUUGCCCGGUGUGUUGCCUGUUUUUGUAGUAGCUAUCAUUUUUACACCGCCUCGCAUUGUACUGAACUACACACUACUUUUUUUUAUAUAAUGCUCUAAAAUAAUUUGUUUUAAAUGAAAAACAAUUCCGUAUUUUGUAACUUUUGUAUAUUAUAAACAUUUUGUAUAUUUAGCUGUGUAUUCUUUGUAAUAAAAAGCACAUUUUAAACUGUGUGAAGCUUUGGUUAAAUUGAUCGCUAUUGUAAAUCCACAAUUCAGUCAGGGAAUGGGAGUCAAAGUACAAGACCUCUAUACAUAGUGAAUUUCAAAAUGAUUUGUGGCCAUGAAUAAAAGUGUGCGUGUGUGAGUUCAUGUGUGUGUCCACCUCAUCAGUACACCUCUCUGGUCAAGCCGGGCAUGGGGACGGCUGUCUCAGCCUCAGACAGGGUCUCCAGGAGCUGGCGGAUGAAGUCGCUGCACUGCUCCAGAGCCCCCCUGCUUCCUGGACAGGUCGUCUCCCAUACAGGCCUGUUGCUCCUCUAGGGACUGCAGAGAAUGCCUGGUACACAGUGUCACAGAACAGCAACACAGGGUUAAAUGGUGUGGGGGAGUCCUUACAUUAAAGGCCAAUGUGCUAUGAAAGUGAACACAUCACAUGUUCAAUAUGCUGUGAAAGAGUCAUACAGGGCGGAUAUAUGUGCUCACGUUCAUAGCAACUCAAUAACACAAACACUCACAUAGACUUGGCUAGAUUCUGCUGUAACACUCCUAUGGUGGCUCCCAACUGCUUAGCCUCUUCCACCAGUCCAGAAUACACCUACAGAGAUCACAGAGUCAAGGUAUGGACACACAUUAUAUACUGAACAAAAAUAAAAUCAGUCAAUUAAUUCAAAUACAUUCAUUCAUUUAAGGAUUUCACAUGACAGAGCAGGGUCGC
ensembl:lncRNA